GCGCCUGGGGAGACGGCCCGGGGAGGAAACCAGGAGGGGUGGGCCCGGGGGGAGGAGGAGGAGCCGGUCUGGGCCUGCGCUCUACAGAGCGUGGGGACGUCAAAGGCUCGAAGGCGGUGAGCAUUCCGGGUUGUGCCGUCCUAGGUUCGGAAUUCUCAGUGCCUUGCGAGGGUGUGCUUGGCUGUGAGUUCUCGUCAGAUCUGGGGCUUCAAAGGAGUCGUGUGUAAGGCGUGCGAUCUGCGUCUUCUCACUUUGCUCAAGCACCCAGGUGAGGUCUCGCACCCGGAGCCAGGCGGGUCCACAGGAGGUGCCAGUGGGCGUGUGGCUUCCGAGCUGAGACAGCAGAACAGGGAUGGGCCACCUCGAGCAGGAGCUCUGGGCCUGGAAGCCUGUGACUGGGGGCCUGGGCUGUGACCUCGGGAGAUCCUGGGCCACCAGAAGAGCCGCUUCCAGGUGCUGGGCACUCAAGGCCCCUGGUUUGGUACAGUGUCUUGGUGAAAAGGACACAGGGGCUGAAAAUUAAUUCUCCAGAUAUCUGGGAGUGGUUCCCCAUGAUGAGCAGCUGCAGUGCGCCUCCUGUCUCCCUAGUGUGUCCUGGCUCAGUGUCUGUCACUUCCCCAUCAGAGGAAUUCCUCAGCCUCUAAGUAACGGAAAGGUAAGUGGGGAGCCAGGUCGCCUCUGGCUGGGGACUAAGGCUUCCACACGGACGUGACUGUUGCAAAGGGAGAGUCCGAGGCCAGCCUGGAGGAAGCUAUCGAGGGCGUUCUUCCCUGUGACCUGCAUGGCACUGUGUUCUUUAGAACAGUUGAGUUCCUGCGUGCUCCUAAGGUCUCCGGGGCAUGCAGGCGCUCCAGUGGCACGGGGGUGGCCAAACACUUGAUCUCUGUCCUGUGUGUAUUCUGUUCAGGUCGACGCUGAUAGGAAUCUCACGGCCACCACUUUGACCCAAAGUCAGGGUAACAGUGUCCCCACUGACAGUUUCCACAAAGGUCAAGCUGGCCUGAGAGUAGCUGCCAAGGAGGAUUCCAAGCUGUGACCCUGUCCAUCCCAAGCUAAACCCCAUUCUGAAUUGAGACCCGCGCUUUUCACAGGUCCACAUGUGACUCAGGAAGGAGAACUUGCAGUUACCAAACUGGCCAUGUGACCCCCCUGGCCUGCCUGGGGCAGAGGCCUCUGAGCUUUUCUUCUGGAUGACUCGUCUCCACUGCUGCGGGCGGGCAUUCCAGGACAUCAGUGCAUUCCUUGCUUUCUUCCAGCCGCUCCCAGCUUGACAUGCCCACUACGAGCUUCUGCAAUAAUGUGAUGUCUGUGUUGUCAGAGAACAGUGCCCAGCACUUACAGAGCAUUCUGGAAUCAGGUGGAUUCUUGAUUCAUGUCUUUGGCCAGCCAUGACCUUCACAUACCUUGAAGUCAAUCAAAGGUGAAAAAUCUGAUUGUCUGAGGAUAGGGACAGCAGGCCGUAGGCAUGAAAAAGGAUAAAAUAGGACCUCAUUAAGCUUUAUCUUAAAAAUUAAUACAAAACCUUAAUAAAGGGAGUUUUUGUCUCUAUAGGUAGGCUCUGCAGCUAGAACAAUUAAAAAGGCAAAGGGGGAGAGAAAAGUUGGGCUGAGAGAGGAAUUUAUCAAAAAUUUGAGUUAGCCCAAAGCAGCCAGAAACGUAACAGACAGGAAAACCAGCUCUUCACCCACUUGAUAAAAUGCAAGGGAGAUAAAGGGCUGCCCUCAGGACUCUUAGUAUGUCAGACACACACACGCACACAUCCAUACAUGUGUAUGUGCUUUUACUUUAACAUCAUUAUAUUACAUCAGAUAUAUAUGUACAUAUUUUUUAUUUAAUCAUUAAGUCUAAGGUGUUUUUUUAUAAAGCCCCCCACCAGCACAAAGGGAUAGAAACGAAUCAACCAGCCAAAAGGAAUGCAGCCCGACAGCCUAGGUUAGGAUCAAAGAUCGCCAAGAGAGCAAAUCACGGCGACAACCUUCAGUUGCCCACACAGGAGAUGGAGAAGAUGCUAGUUCCUGAAAAAAGUGAGCUGAAGAAAAACUUGGUGCGUUUUCACUUUGGAGUACUCCCUGCUGGUCCACAGUAGCUGUCCUCUCUGUCUUUCCCCUUUCCCCACCUUCAUUAAAUCGUCUUCUUUUAUUCUAAA